rnacentral:misc_RNA from 1 species
CGUCAGAUGUGAUAAGUAAUGUGAAUUGCAGAAUUCAGUGAACCAUCGAACCUUUGAACGCACAUUGCGCCCCCUGGUACCCCGGGGGGCAUGCCCGUCCGAGCGUCAUCUCAGACCCUCAGGCCCCGGCCUGGCGCUGGGCCCCGCGCGCAUGGCGCGGGCCCGAAACCCCGCGGCGGCGGCGCCCCCGGAUCGAGCGACCAAGGCCCCACGGCCCCGCUGAGAUCCCGAGGGCAGCGCUGGCCACGCUCCCCCCCAGGGCGCGCGGAGCGAAAAGCACCCCCAAGCGGUUGACCUCGGAUCGGGCAGGGAUACCCGCUGAACUUAAGC